GUGGGGGAUAUUGCACAAUGGGGGAAACCCUGAUGCAGCGACGCCGCGUGAAGGAAGAAGGCUUUCGGGUCGUAAACUUCUGUUUUCAGGGAAGAUAAUGACGGUACCUGAAGAGGAAGCCACGGCUAACUACGUGCCAGCAGCCGCGGUAAUACGUAGGUGGCGAGCGUUGUCCGGAAUUACUGGGUGUAAAGGGUGCGUAGGCGGGACGGUAAGUCAGCUGUGAAAGGUACAGGCUCAACCUGUGCACUGCAGUUGAAACUGCUGUUCUUGAGUAGAGGAGAGGUAAACGGAAUUCCCAGUGUAGCGGUGGAAUGCGUAGAUAUUGGGAGGAACACCAGUGGCGAAGGCGGUUUACUGGACUCUAACUGACGCUGAAGCACGAAAGCGUGGGGAGCAAACAGGA
rnacentral:rRNA from 1 species